GACGAACGCUGGCGGCGUGCUUAACACAUGCAAGUCGAACGGAAAGGCCCUGCUUUUGUGGGGUGCUCGAGUGGCGAACGGGUGAGUAACACGUGAGUAACCUGCCCUUGACUUUGGGAUAACUUCAGGAAACUGGGGCUAAUACCGGAUAGGAGCUCCUGCUGCAUGGUGGGGGUUGGAAAGUUUCGGCGGUUGGGGAUGGACUCGCGGCUUAUCAGCUUGUUGGUGGGGGAGUGGCUUACCAAGGCUUUGACGGGUAGCCGGCCUGAGAGGGUGACCGGGCACAUUGGUACUGCGAUACGGCCCAGACGCCUACGGGAGGCAGCAGGGGGGAAUAUGGCACAAUGGGCGGGAGCCUGAUGCAGCAACGCCGCGUGCGGGAUGACGGCCUUCGGGGUGUAAACCGCUUUAGCCUGUGACGAAGCGGGAGUGACGGUAAUGGGUAAAUAAGCACCGGCUAACUACGUG
rnacentral:rRNA from 1 species